AGGAUGAACGCUGGCGGCGUGCCUAAUACAUGCAAGUCGAGCGGUAAGGCUUCCACAGUUUAUUUGAUCGGGAUUUAUCCUGCGCUUUCUCUGGCUAGAGAGAGUAAAAGAUCGAAUAAAGCGUGGAAGUACACGAGCGGCGGACGGCUGAGUAACACGUAGGAACGUACCCCAAAGUGAGGGAUAAGCACCAGAAAUGGUGUCUAAUACCGCAUGUGCUCUUCGGAGUAAAGCUUCGGCGCUUUGGGAACGGCCUGCGCAUGAUUAGCUUGUUGGUGAGGUAAUAGCUCACCAAGGCGACGAUCAUUAGCUGGUCUGAGAGGAUGAUCAGCCAGACUGGGACUGGAGAACGGCCCAGACUCCUACGGGAGGCAGCAGUAGGAAUUUUCCACAAUGGCGAAAGCCUGAUGGAGCAACGCCGCGUGCAGGAGUGAAGGCCCGUCGGUCGUAAACUGUCUUUAUCUGUGACGAUUAUGA
rnacentral:rRNA from 1 species